AAAGAAAUUCAUUUUUGUGGUUGUUCUUUUACUAUUAUUUUUAACUUUUAAUUAUUCAGAAAAAGCAAACAAUAAGAAAGAGCAAAGUAGAGAAAGAAUCUGGAAUGAGGAAAGAGAAAACAAGAGUCUGGAAGAAAGAAACGUUCCUGAAACGGAUAAUUUGGAAUGUCUAAUUUCUACAUUUUAUUGACGCUUUCUUCAUCUUCUUUUGUACAACCAUUAAAGAUGCAGGGAGGGAGGUGUAUCUAUCACAGUUUUUUAAUUCAUUUUUCUUUCAAUGAUUUAGGACACUUUUUCAAUUCACUUUUCUUCCAAUGAUGUAGGGUGGAGGUGUAGGGGUUUAGGAAAAUUUGGGACUUUAAAAAAAUUAAAUAAAAUUAAAUCGUAAAAAUUAAAUUAAAGUAGAAUAUUUUUAGAAUAAAAAGUAAUAAUGAAAAGGUACAAGAGUAUUAGAGUGAUGAAGGAAGGAAGAAGAAAGAACAAAGUGACGAAAGUAAGAGGAAGAAGGGGAUUUAAAAAAAUGUUUUGGGGAAGAGGGAGAUAACUCUAAAAAUAAAAAUGUAAAAAGGUUAAAAAGGUAAAACAAAAAGAUAUUUUUGUAAUUGAAAAAAAAUUAGAGAAAGUUGAGGAGGUGGAGGGAGGAAAUGAGGGAGGUGGAGGGAGCAACUCCCUUGUGGACAUCAGCCAAACCUAUAACUGGCCUAAUUUCAACGCAGUAGACCAAUUUCAACAUCUCUGGUCCAAUAUAUAAAAAGCCUAAUUAACCAGGGGCCAUUUUGCAAAAUAGAAAAAUCUAAGAACAGGGACCAAUGAAACAGAUGAGAAAAGGUUAUUCAACAAUUAAAAAAAUUUAAAAUCCAUUUAAACAAAACUAAAAAAACAAAAAAGAUUAAUUUCCUAAUUAUUUAGAAACUCUACAAAAUACACCUAAAAACCUAUUUUUAACUAAAAUUUCAUAAAACCUAAGAUUUAAUAGAAAAACCUAAAACUAAUCUAAUUC
rnacentral:lncRNA from 1 species